rnacentral:rRNA from 1 species
AUACGUAGGGGGCAAGCGUUGUCCGGAUUUACUGGGCGUAAAGGGCGCGUAGGCGGUAGAUUAAGUCAGAUGUGAAAGUCCACGGCUCAACCGUGGAAGUGCAUUUGAAACUGGUUUACUUGAGUGCAGGAGAGGAGAGCGGAAUUCCUAGUGUAGCGGUGAAAUGCGUAGAUAUUAGGAAGAACACCAGUGGCGAAGGCGGCUCUCUGGACUGUAACUGACGCUGAGGCGCGAAAGCGUGGGGAGCGAACAGGAUUAGAUACCCUGGUAGUCCACGCCGUAAACGAUGAGUGCUAGGUGUUGGGGGUCGAACCUCAGUGCCGCAGUUAACACAUUAAGCACUCCGCCUGGGGAGUACGACCGCAAGGUUGAA